GAUGAACGCUGGUUGCGUGCCUAACACAUGCAAGUCGAGCGAUUCUCUUCGGAGAAGAGCGGCGGACGGGUGAGUAACGCGUGGGUAACCUGCCCUGUACACACGGAUAACAUACCGAAAGGUAUGCUAAUACGAGAUAACAUGCUUUUAUCGCAUGGUAGAAGUAUCAAAGCUUUUGCGGUACAGGAUGGACCCGCGUCUGAUUAGCUAGUUGGUGAGGUAACGGCUCACCAAGGCGACGAUCAGUAGCCGACCUGAGAGGGUGAUCGGCCACAUUGGAACUGAGACACGGUCCAAACUCCUACGGGAGGCAGCAGUGGGGAAUAUUGCACAAUGGGCGAAAGCCUGAUGCAGCAACGCCGCGUGAGCGAUGAAGGCCUUCGGGUCGUAAAGCUCUGUCCUCAAGGAAGAUAAUGACGGUACUUGAGGAGGAAGCCCCGGCUAACUACGUG
rnacentral:rRNA from 1 species